UUUGGUUUGUUACGGGUGGUUGGCUGUCUGCUCGCGCAGCAACGUCCACGCGUGCUUACCUCUUCAUUUUAGCGACAAGGCUUGUUUUGCCUUGAGCAGCUUGUGGGUUUCCUGUGUUGCAUACCUAAUCGACGGUAACGUGUGGGUUUAUAGACGUCCCUUUUCGUCAUGCGUCGCACAUGUGGCGUGGGAUGAACCUUGAAGCAGGCUUUGUGGUCCGCUUUGUUGGUGCUUUUGCAUCGACGAAGUGGCCCUUAAGGCAUCGCUUGGUCUCUUGUAUACGGAACCUGAUGUGGGCAUGGGUCUUUCGGGAUCCUGUAUUUGCCCUAUUUAAGCGUUCUCGCUUCUCCAAAACGAUUGUCCGUCACGUCUCGGCUUGUCCUUGCGUGGCGGGCUGCGUCGAAGA
rnacentral:misc_RNA from 2 species